GGGGAUGGGCUUUGCAUAAAGUCUAGAUAGAACUGAUUUUGAAUGGGCUUCUUUGCCCAUUGCUAUGCUUUUUGCAUCAUAACUUUGUAACUUACGUGAUAAUUUAGCACCGAAGCUGAUGACAGGAAGACAAAUCAGGACUUUGUCUCUCCUUUCCUUCACUUACAAAUGGUAUGAAGACAUUCUCUGUGAUGUCUGUAUGACUGAAGGUAGCAGAAGGAGUAAAACUGGGAAAGUUGAAUACGUUCAAUGCACUUAAAGAAGCCUGGAAGUUAAUGACAUCAUUGGCAGACAGCUCUGGCCUCGUGCAUCUGGAGAUCCAAACAGCCCUGCUUGAUGCUGGCACAUUUUGGUGUGAGUGUCAGGACAUGGUGACCAUGAUGUGCUUGACCAAACUUGGUGCUGACAUUUGGGACCUGAGGAGGUGUCUGAGACCGGUAGAAGGGAGCUGACAUGACACCAGUGCCGCUCCCAGAGGACAUGCUACAACCUCUUGACAUGGAGCUUGCAGUAAGGAAGAACUGAACUCUCUGUACAUCCUGCAGCAGAAGCACCCCAAGCUGCUGCCCACAGCUUUCUUUCUGCUCCCCUCCUGAGGUCUGAGGACUGUUCAAGAAAACAUCCAAUUCCCAAACUUCUGGCGAAUGCUUUUAUCACCCUUCAUUCUCUCUACCAGCUUACUUGCCCUUGAAAUUUGUCCACAGAGAAUGACUAAAAAUUUGCUCAUGAACUUAAAAAAUUGGCAUGAGACUUCCAUGGUUUAUGGGCAUGGUGGUGGUAGGCUAAUGGUUGGACCAUAGGUCUUUUCCAACCUCAAUGAUUCUAUGAUUCAUGCUGCCAACACAAAGACCAACAAAGCUUACUGUGCUUGGAUACUGAAGAAAACUUCUUUUGGAGGAACCAUUUUGAGAAGCACCAUUUUGUUCCUACCCAGGUGGGCCCUUCCAGAGUUCCCAAGCACCCCCUUCCCCAGCUCAGUAAUGGAAAUGUACUGCAAUCAACAUCCCAACGUGUAACCUUAACUUUUUGAAGUGACGAGUCUAAUGCCCUUACACUGACUUCAGCUUCUUUAGAUAAGGGAAGGAAGAAAGCAAAGGAUUAAUAAACCAUCUCCCCCUCCCAUAUGUUGAGAAACUAUGCUAGCACUGACAACAGACUGGCCAAUAUUCAUAAUAAUCUUUUAACUGGAUGGCAAUGAAAGUUUCCACUAGUCUAACUAAGCUUUUGGCUAUUCAUGUGUAUUGUAUGAAAGAAUCCAGAUUUAUCAAUGUCAAUCUGUAAAUUAGCAAUAAUUUCUGGUUUUGCGUUGGAAGAGUGGGGGUCAAGGGAAAAAAACACAGGUUUAAAGGAAGAUGGGAUUGUCUUCCUGCCAUUUUGUCUGUGUUUGAUUUCUUCAGCUCUGCGCUGCCUGGAAAUCAGUCCAAGAUGUUACAACAGAUGUCUGACAGCACUUCAGCUCGCUGCUUGAGAUCCGAGCAGUGCUGAGCUUGAAGUCAGCUGGUGGUAGCACUUGACCCAGGUUCAGUGAGCUCACCCCAGGGCUUACUGAGUGUGCUGUGAUUGCUGGGGAACACUAUCCAAGCAGAUGUUUAGCUGGCAAACUUGCCUCUCUCUGUUGUUCUGUCCCCUGUGAGAACAUGUGAAACACAGGAUGCUGGAUUUUCCUUGGGAGAGAAACAGGGCCGUGGGGAGAAGCGCUGGCUGGUGGUGGUAGCCAAAUGUUCCCACCAGGAAUUCAAACUGUCCCCCUGCACAUCUCAAAGCAAAACUGCAAGAUUUGGUCCACUGCCAGUCCUUCCAAGUUUCCUGCAUGGUCUGGUUUGUGACACGAGCUCUGCAAAAUGUAUUCCAUAUGUUUGUUCCACCAGAAAUCCUAUUGGUUUGUGAUACCGCAACUGAGCUUGCUUGUGGACAUUUGAUCCCUGUCUGGGUAAGAUGAAGAUUCGCUCUACAAGGAAUUUUAAGUCAAAUGUUAGUUCCGCCUCAGCCUGGAUUAUAUAUGUGCUGACAAAAAUAAAUCUGACGUUUUAUUCCUGACUUGAACAAUGUGAGGUUCCUCUUCAGGGAUUCCCGGAUUGUUCUUACCUAGUAAUUAAAUCUUCAUCAUGUUUUUGCCAAAAGCAGUAUGUUCAGCUCCCAAAGGGGGAUUAUUUCUUCUGUAUCCCUCCACUCCCCACACAAGAUCUCCCGGGGUCCAUCUGUACCUCCUCCUCCCUUUUAGCUACACUUGUCUCGUUAGUUGUUCGGCCCUGAUUCUGCAAGCUGAUGCCUGGAUCUGCUGUGCAUGAAAAAUCCCACAUCUAUAUCCUGCCAGGAGGCAUUUUGUUUCGCUCGCUUGGAGUCUAGGACAAGGUUUUCCCUCCCAUGAAUUAUGUGCUUUCUUGGCCAGGAACUACAGAUGCAGAUUUUUCCCGCUGGGGGCUGCCGAGGGGCUCUGGGCAGGAGCUCCAGGGAACUCAGGCUCCCCAUCCACCCCAGAGCUUUGCUGACAGGGUGACAUUGGUUGUAUGGCUUCAGCCCUUGAAACGGCCAGCGUGGAAAACACGCAGGGAGACACAACGGGGUUAGAAGAAAAAUGUUUAUAAUGCCCUGGGCACUUACUGUAUGUACAUAUGGGGUAUACAUAUGCAUAUGUGUAACGUUUGAUCAACAACAGUGAUUGUAGAGGUGUGUCUUGUUAUGAAGUCAAUUCUGUAUACAAUCUGUCCUGGGUUCUGACAUAAUAUUUAUCUUGUCACGAGUUAAGUUCCCAAACCCAAAUCCUUCACUGAUAUUCUGUUAGAAAAUCAUCCCUCCAUGUCCACUGUUUUGGUGUUCAAGUGCCAUAUUACUGUUGUCCCAUUUCUAUAAAUGCUCAUAAUAACAAUGUACUAUUUGUCAGGAAGGUGGAUAGCUAUCUCACUGACUUCCAGCUUCAGCUUCAAAACAGUGGUGUACCACACUAGUGGUUUCAUGAUGCCUUGUUUUGGAUGAAAAGGUGGUUAUAAAAAGCAUAAAUUCAUUCAGCUCUACCCAACAUUUUGUGCACAUAGUUAAACCUAUAGAUGAAUUAUCUGGUAGUGAAUUGCCAAACAGAAAAACAACAACAACAAAACAGCAAACAAAGGUAGAACAGCAAACAGGUUCCAAUCAAAUUUCUCUUCUCAGUUCUUGCUCAGACUACAUUUAUUUGUUCCAAUAAGAAAUCUUUAGAAUUAACAGUGGGUUUUGUCCAUUCUUCUUUUUUUUUUAACUAUGGACAAACUAUGACAAUACACUCUAAUGGAAUGAAAUUUUCUUUUUCAUUCUGGAAAUAUAUCCUGCGCUAUAGGGCUUUUCAAUUUAACAUACAAGCCUUUAUCUUUUCCAGCCAAGAGCAACACUUAUUUUAUAUGUAUACAAAUGUAAUUACAAAUGUUUGUUUCUGUAAGAACUCAUAUUUUUACCUUUUAAAAUGCACAUAAACGUUGCUAGAUAUGAAACCUUUUAGCUUGUAGGGCCGGCAAAUAUGCUCACGCUGCUUUAGCAUUUGCACAGUGAUGUCCUUUGCAUGACUCAAGGACUUAUUCUGCUAUGAAAAUUACAUGCAUUUCCUUGGAGAAACCUUUUAUUUUUCCUUUCUUUCUUGUUUUCCUUUGCAG
ensembl:lncRNA